rnacentral:lncRNA from 1 species
UUGAGCUUCUCGAGAUGGAACAUAGGGUUGAUGAUCUUCCUGUGCUUGGCCCAUUUCUAGCGCUCGUGGCUACCAAUGCCGUUGUGCAACAUCCUCUGAAGACGGCCCAACUUGAGCUUCUCAAAGUGGCCGGACUUGUUGGACAGAACUUCGCGCACAAGUUCAGGCUUGCUAAUGGUCACUCUAGGUGACGGUCCAAACCAAGUGAUAGACAUUUUACCUGAAAUGAAAUGAUUUUAGAUAAUCACAACGUAGCUUGUAUCAGCAGUUCUUUUUUCUUCUUCUUUAGUUUCUAUGGAUACACGUCUAUAUUUUCAUUUUCAGUUAGCCCAUAUACCUAAGUGUGGGGCAGGGUUUGUCUAGUUCGCUAGCUAGAACAUACUGUAUUAGAUUUCAUGGAUAGAAAAAUGAAGCCCGAUGCAGUGACUAAAAUAAGAAGGGUGGGAUCUAGCGUCUAGUCAUCAUCACAUUAGCUAGUGUGGGUGCCUUUCGAACUGGACUAUUGAGUUGGUGUUUUCCUCUCUGGAAUGAUGCUGUCUGCUAGCUAGCUUACGCAAUAGGAAUAUUGCCGCGGAUGCAAUCAUGGAUUUUGUUGUUGAUGAUACUCUCUUUACAAAUGCUCCUAUAGCUAGAUACCUUGAAUGUCUCUAAAUCUUGUUGUUCUAAUCUGCUACGAAACUACAAUUAAUAAAGUUGAAUUGAACUUCAAAAUAGCAUGAGACAAAACCUCCCGCAGAAGAAAAUCAGCAUGAGGAAAAUAGGCAAUAGCCGUGAAUAUAUGUAUACAAAGAAAAAAUGAGUCCGGUAGUCAACCAAUUUUUUUUGAUGAAAACUGAAUCCGCUCUUUUUUAUUUUGGAAACGGAAAUCCGCUGUGGAAACAUAUGUUCCCGGACGACCUUGGACGAGACCAAAGAAAUUUCCAAGGCAAACCAAUGCAGCCGACUCCAAGGUCAAGGGACUGACAGACCAGAAAGAGAACAGGAGAAGUACGGGACGUACCGUGCUCCUUCAUGGUCUGGUGGAACAGCGGCAUGGCCCGGGGCACGACGUCGUGGCAGCCCAGCGGCAUGGACCGCGACCUCGCCAAAAGUGUUAUGAUGUGACUGACACAUGUAACUUCGCUUUAAAUUUUCACAUAGGCAACAACCCGCGUAUAGUACAAGUAAUGAAUGACGUCAUCAUCCUAGUAACUCAUAUUCACUUAAAGUAACAGCAAGAAAGCAUACUUGAAGAUUUGUGGAUGACGGGUCAAGAAGAUCUGUAAUUUGUUCAUUAUAGAUCUCCAGGAAAGAACACUUGCAGUUGUACUUAAGAUUCUCAUCCCUCCUGCUCUCAUCUUCCUGCAAUUUUAGGAUUUGCACAUAGCAGAUUUAGAAACCAUAGCAUUAUAAGACACAUUACCCUAUGCUCAGCAACAAGUCUUUUAUUAUCAACAGAUUUAAAAAAAUACUGCUAUGGAGGGGUCAUCCCUCCUCCCGCUGCGCUGCCCCAAAGCGCGGCGCCCCAGUGCGGGAGGCGGCGCUGGCCGGCAAGCAAGAAACGGCCCGUGUGCACGGGCAACGCAACGACGCCAGCGCCGCCUCCCGCACUGGGGCGCCGCGCUUUGGGGCAGCGCAGCGGGAGGAGGGAUGACCCCUCCAUAGCAGUAUUUUUUUAAAUCUGUUGAUAAUAAAAGACUUGUUGCUGAGCAUAGGGUAAUGUGUCUUAUAAUGCUAUGGUUUCUAAAUCUGCUAUGUGCAAAUCCUAAAAUUGCAGGAAGAUGAGAGCAGGAGGGAUGAGAAUCUUAAGUACAACUGCAAGUGUUCUUUCCUGGAGAUCUAUAAUGAACAAAUUACAGAUCUUCUUGACCCGUCAUCCACAAAUCUUCAAGUAUGCUUUCUUGCUGUUACUUUAAGUGAAUAUGAGUUACUAGGAUGAUGACGUCAUUCAUUACUUGUACUAUACGCGGGUUGUUGCCUAUGUGAAAAUUUAAAGCGAAGUUACAUGUGUCAGUCACAUCAUAACACUUUUGGCGAGGUCGCGGUCCAUGCCGCUGGGCUGCCACGACGUCGUGCCCCGGGCCAUGCCGCUGUUCCACCAGACCAUGAAGGAGCACGGUACGUCCCGUACUUCUCCUGUUCUCUUUCUGGUCUGUCAGUCCCUUGACCUUGGAGUCGGCUGCAUUGGUUUGCCUUGGAAAUUUCUUUGGUCUCGUCCAAGGUCGUCCGGGAACAUAUGUUUCCACAGCGGAUUUCCGUUUCCAAAAUAAAAAAGAGCGGAUUCAGUUUUCAUCAAAAAAAAUUGGUUGACUACCGGACUCAUUUUUUCUUUGUAUACAUAUAUUCACGGCUAUUGCCUAUUUUCCUCAUGCUGAUUUUCUUCUGCGGGAGGUUUUGUCUCAUGCUAUUUUGAAGUUCAAUUCAACUUUAUUAAUUGUAGUUUCGUAGCAGAUUAGAACAACAAGAUUUAGAGACAUUCAAGGUAUCUAGCUAUAGGAGCAUUUGUAAAGAGAGUAUCAUCAACAACAAAAUCCAUGAUUGCAUCCGCGGCAAUAUUCCUAUUGCGUAAGCUAGCUAGCAGACAGCAUCAUUCCAGAGAGGAAAACACCAACUCAAUAGUCCAGUUCGAAAGGCACCCACACUAGCUAAUGUGAUGAUGACUAGACGCUAGAUCCCACCCUUCUUAUUUUAGUCACUGCAUCGGGCUUCAUUUUUCUAUCCAUGAAAUCUAAUACAGUAUGUUCUAGCUAGCGAACUAGACAAACCCUGCCCCACACUUAGGUAUAUGGGCUAACUGAAAAUGAAAAUAUAGACGUGUAUCCAUAGAAACUAAAGAAGAAGAAAAAAGAACUGCUGAUACAAGCUACGUUGUGAUUAUCUAAAAUCAUUUCAUUUCAGGUAAAAUGUCUAUCACUUGGUUUGGACCGUCACCUAGAGUGACCAUUAGCAAGCCUGAACUUGUGCGCGAAGUUCUGUCCAACAAGUCCGGCCACUUUGAGAAGCUCAAGUUGGGCCGUCUUCAGAGGAUGUUGCACAACGGCAUUGGUAGCCACGAGCGCUAGAAAUGGGCCAAGCACAGGAAGAUCAUCAACCCUAUGUUCCAUCUCGAGAAGCUCAAGGUGAUUUUCUUUUGUUUUGUUCGGUCAUUGACAUGGCAGACUGGCAUUGGUUGGUUGGUUGGCUCCAGGGAGUGACAAAAUUGGUGUUCAAUUUUCAGCGCAUGUUGACAGCUUUCGCUGCAUGUUGCACGGACCUGGUGCAGAGAUGAGAAGGCCUAGCCGCAGGUGAUGCGCCAUGCGAGGUAGAUGUGUGGCCCGACAUGCAGAACCUGACAGGGGAUGUCAUCUCUCGCGCUGCGUUCGGUAGCAGCUACCUGGAGGGCAGGAGGAUCUUCCAGCUUCAAGGGGAGCAAAUCGAGCUCGCCGUGCUCGCCAUGAACAAGAUACAUAUCCCUGGUUAUUUGUGAGUUCUCUGCUCUGUCUGUGAUUACUCUCGUUUUGCACGUACAUCCUCCAUGGUGGUGCAAAUUUGAGUUUUUGUGCUGAUGCAUUGCUUUUAUGUCCAGGUUCUGGCCUACAAAAGCCAACCGAAGGAUGAGACAGAUUGCUGCCAAGAUCGAGAGGAUCCUCAAGGGCAUCAUCGCGAAAAGAGAGAACGCCUUGAUGGCCGGCUAAGCCACAAGCGACGAUCUCCUCGGGCUGCUGCUGGAGUCCAACAUGGCACACAGCAGGGAGGGCGGCAACUCCAAGGCCGGCAUCACGACCGACGACGUGAUCGGAGAGUGCAAGCUCUUCUACUUCGUCGGCAUGGAGACCACGUCGGUGCUGCUCACAUGGACGAUGAUCGUCCUCUGCAUGCACCCAGAGUGGCAGGACCGCGCCAGGGAGGAGGUCCUGCAAGUCUUCGGCGACCGCACGCCGGAUUACGACGGGUUAAGUCGCCUGAGGAUUGUGACCAUGGUGCUGUACGAGGUGCUGCGGCUGUACACGCCGCUGACGGCGCUCCAGCGCAAGACGUACAAGAAUUUCCAACCAAUAAUAAGACCAUAGUUUUCAGUGCUUGUACAAUGGAAAGGGACAGUCACGAGAUGAGUGCAGAUUACAUAUGAGCAAUUAACUUUCUAUUUAUUCUUGUAAGCAUGUGAUGAGUGCAGAUUAUGGGUGGAGAUGGAGAUGGUUUUGCUUGUUUAUUAAGAUCAAAUUAGGGNUAAUCUGCACUCAUCACAUGCUUACAAGAAUAAAUAGAAAGUUAAUUGCUCAUAUGUAAUCUGCACUCAUCUCGUGACUGUCCCUUUCCAUUGUACAAGCACUGAAAACUAUGGUCUUAUUAUUGGUUGGAAAUUCUUGUACGUCUUGCGCUGGAGCGCCGUCAGCGGCGUGUACAGCCGCAGCACCUCGUACAGCACCAUGGUCACAAUCCUCAGGCGACUUAACCCGUCGUAAUCCGGCGUGCGGUCGCCGAAGACUUGCAGGACCUCCUCCCUGGCGCGGUCCUGCCACUCUGGGUGCAUGCAGAGGACGAUCAUCGUCCAUGUGAGCAGCACCGACGUGGUCUCCAUGCCGACGAAGUAGAAGAGCUUGCACUCUCCGAUCACGUCGUCGGUCGUGAUGCCGGCCUUGGAGUUGCCGCCCUCCCUGCUGUGUGCCAUGUUGGACUCCAGCAGCAGCCCGAGGAGAUCGUCGCUUGUGGCUUAGCCGGCCAUCAAGGCGUUCUCUCUUUUCGCGAUGAUGCCCUUGAGGAUCCUCUCGAUCUUGGCAGCAAUCUGUCUCAUCCUUCGGUUGGCUUUUGUAGGCCAGAACCUGGACAUAAAAGCAAUGCAUCAGCACAAAAACUCAAAUUUGCACCACCAUGGAGGAUGUACGUGCAAAACGAGAGUAAUCACAGACAGAGCAGAGAACUCACAAAUAACCAGGGAUAUGUAUCUUGUUCAUGGCGAGCACGGCGAGCUCGAUUUGCUCCCCUUGAAGCUGGAAGAUCCUCCUGCCCUCCAGGUAGCUGCUACCGAACGCAGCGCGAGAGAUGACAUCCCCUGUCAGGUUCUGCAUGUCGGGCCACACAUCUACCUCGCAUGGCGCAUCACCUGCGGCUAGGCCUUCUCAUCUCUGCACCAGGUCCGUGCAACAUGCAGCGAAAGCUGUCAACAUGCGCUGAAAAUUGAACACCAAUUUUGUCACUCCCUGGAGCCAACCAACCAACCAAUGCCAGUCUGCCAUGUCAAUGACCGAACAAAACAAAAGAAAAUCACCUUGAGCUUCUCGAGAUGGAACAUAGGGUUGAUGAUCUUCCUGUGCUUGGCCCAUUUCUAGCGCUCGUGGCUACCAAUGCCGUUGUGCAACAUCCUCUGAAGACGGCCCAACUUGAGCUUCUCAAAGUGGCCGGACUUGUUGGACAGAACUUCGCGCACAAGUUCAGGCUUGCUAAUGGUCACUCUAGGUGACGGUCCAAACCAAGUGAUAGACAUUUUACCUGAAAUGAAAUGAUUUUAGAUAAUCACAACGUAGCUUGUAUCAGCAGUUCUUUUUUCUUCUUCUUUAGUUUCUAUGGAUACACGUCUAUAUUUUCAUUUUCAGUUAGCCCAUAUACCUAAGUGUGGGGCAGGGUUUGUCUAGUUCGCUAGCUAGAACAUACUGUAUUAGAUUUCAUGGAUAGAAAAAUGAAGCCCGAUGCAGUGACUAAAAUAAGAAGGGUGGGAUCUAGCGUCUAGUCAUCAUCACAUUAGCUAGUGUGGGUGCCUUUCGAACUGGACUAUUGAGUUGGUGUUUUCCUCUCUGGAAUGAUGCUGUCUGCUAGCUAGCUUACGCAAUAGGAAUAUUGCCGCGGAUGCAAUCAUGGAUUUUGUUGUUGAUGAUACUCUCUUUACAAAUGCUCCUAUAGCUAGAUACCUUGAAUGUCUCUAAAUCUUGUUGUUCUAAUCUGCUACGAAACUACAAUUAAUAAAGUUGAAUUGAACUUCAAAAUAGCAUGAGACAAAACCUCCCGCAGAAGAAAAUCAGCAUGAGGAAAAUAGGCAAUAGCCGUGAAUAUAUGUAUACAAAGAAAAAAUGAGUCCGGUAGUCAACCAAUUUUUUUUGAUGAAAACUGAAUCCGCUCUUUUUUAUUUUGGAAACGGAAAUCCGCUGUGGAAACAUAUGUUCCCGGACGACCUUGGACGAGACCAAAGAAAUUUCCAAGGCAAACCAAUGCAGCCGACUCCAAGGUCAAGGGACUGACAGACCAGAAAGAGAACAGGAGAAGUACGGGACGUACCGUGCUCCUUCAUGGUCUG